UGCCAGCCGCCGCGGUAAUACGAAGGGACCUAGCGUAGUUCGGAAUUACUGGGCUUAAAGAGUUCGUAGGUGGUUGAAAAAGUUGGUGGUGAAAUCCCAGAGCUUAACUCUGGAACUGCCAUCAAAACUUUUCAGCUAGAGUAUGAUAGAGGAAAGCAGAAUUUCUAGUGUAGAGGUGAAAUUCGUAGAUAUUAGAAAGAAUACCUAAUGCGAAGGCAAUUUUCUGGUGCACUCCUGACACUGAGGUGCGAAAGCGCGGGGAGCGAACAGGAUUAGAUA
rnacentral:rRNA from 1 species